rnacentral:rRNA from 1 species
CAGCAGCCGCGGUAAUACCGGCGGCCCGAGUGGCGGUCACUAUUAUUGGGCUUAAAGCGUCCGUAGCCGGGUUGGGAAGUCCUCCGGGAAAUCUGGCCGCUUAACGGUCAGAAUGCCGGAGGAUACUCCCAGCCUAGGGAGCGGGAGAGGCCGAGGGUAUUCCCGGAGGAGGGGUGAAAUCCUAUAAUCCCGGGAGGACCACCUGUGGCGAAGGCGCUCGGCUGGAACGCGUCCGACGGUGAGGGACGAAGGCCAGGGGAGCAAACCGGAUUAGAUGCCCGGGUAGUCCUGGCUGUAAACGAUGCGGACUUUGUGUCGGACAAGCUAUGAGCUUGUCCGGUGCCGGAGGGAAACCGUUAAGUCCGCCGCCUGGGGAGUACGGCCGCAAGGCUGAAACUUAAAGGAAUUGGCGGG